UACGUAGGUGGCAAGCGUUAUCCGGAAUUAUUGGGCGUAAAGCGCGCGCAGGCGGUUUCUUAAGUCUGAUGUGAAAGCCCACGGCUCAACCGUGGAGGGUCAUUGGAAACUGGGGAACUUGAGUGCAGAAGAGAAAAGCGGAAUUCCACGUGUAGCGGUGAAAUGCGUAGAGAUGUGGAGGAACACCAGUGGCGAAGGCGGCUUUUUGGUCUGUAACUGACGCUGGGGCGCGAAAGCGUGGGGAGCAAACAGG
rnacentral:rRNA from 1 species